AUUAUUAAUUCACUUUAAUUAAACAAGUUCAUAAUGCCCAUGAGCAUAUAGUCAUGUUUACUGAAUUCAUAAGGCUCAUUUGAAAGCUAGUUUAAAGCUAACCAGGUGAUUCGCCAGUUAACUAGUUUACUAGCCAACAGGCUGUCCUUUGCUUUGCUUCCUUAUUUUAACUGGCUAUAAACGAGCGGGCUUGUUUUUCCUGAAGCUUUUAAUGUGACGUGAACAGUGUUUUACUGAUUAAAAUAUGUAAAAACAGUGAGAUAAUCUGAUUUUGUGAAAGCGAUAAGUCUAAGAACAGUCUUCACUGCAGUGGUGAGAAACCAGGACUCUUAUUUUGAAAACUGAAAGGAGGAGCUGUGUGCGCGCCUGCGCCCUUACAUCUGCAGAGCGUUUGGUGUGUCGUUACACGGAUUUUUCCUCAUCAAAUUUUCAUUUUAUUUUGCAGAUCAAUGGACAACUUUGUCAUUAACACUUUGACAGACCUUGUGACUUGUCUAAAGAUUUGAUAUUAGAGCACCAAGGAAAAGGACAAUGGAGCACGAGGAGGCUCCUUCGACCUCCAGACAGUUGAAGUUGAGAGAAACCAAGCUAGUCACACAGAAGAAUGUUGAUCAUGCCGUGUUGAAUUGUGUGACCCAGAGUCUACAACCCUUUAGUGAUCUUCAGCCUAAUGCCUCUCUCAUAUCAAGGAGCACUCUGUGACGUAAGAUGGAUGAGGCAGUACUUGAAAUGAAGAAAAAUAUAAAAAAGCAAUGUCAGGGAUCGAUUUCAUUGCAACCACAACAGGCAGCUCAGAGGUGAUGAUGCUGAGGUCACCUUACUUGAUAUAUUUUAUUCAUUUAUUUAUUUUUUUACCAAGUAUCACCAGUUUCAUGUGAAGCAGUAUAGAGUUAAUAAUACACAAAUACUGACAAUUACAUGUAAAAGCAUUACUAAAUAUUGUUCCUGACAGUGUGGGGAAAUUCAUAACUGAAAUAGUAUUAUAUACCCCUUCUAUAUGCAGUUGUGACUGGCAAGUGCGUUUCUUCUGAUCACAAACACUAGUUCCUAUUACAGUGAAUCUGAUAUGGCCAGUUUAUAUUUAUACACAGACACAUUCAGAUAUGAUAUAGUAAAGGAAAACUCAUGUUAACCUGUGUUUUGCAAGUUUAAGUUUAAAUAAAAACUUGGAUAACUGUUACAAAUAAAUGUUAAACUGAAACUA